CGCGGGGGCAACCCUGGCGGCGAGCGGCGAAUUGGCCCGUAAUGCAUCGGAAAGUGUCCUCUUGUGGGGGAUGACCAGUCGAAAGAUUGGCUAAUACCGCAUGAGAUCGAGAGAUGAAAGCGGGGGACCGCAAGGCCUCGCGCGAGAGGAGCGGCCGAUGCCGGAUUAGCUAGUUGGUGGGGUAACGGCCUACCAAGGCGACGAUCCGUAGCUGGUCUGAGAGGACGACCAGCCACACUGGGACUGAGACACGGCCCAGACUCCUACGGGAGGCAGCAGUGGG
rnacentral:rRNA from 1 species